CCUACGGGAGGCAGCAGUGAGGAAUAUUGGUCAAUGGGCGCGAGCCUGAACCAGCAAAGUAGCGUGAAGGAUGAAUGCCCUACGGGUUGUAAACUUCUUUUAUAGAGGAAUAAAGUGGGGCACGUGUGCCUUUUUGUAUGUACUUUAUGAAUAAGGAUCAGCUAACUCCGUGCCAGCGGCCGAGGUAAUACGGAGUAUCCGAGCGUUGUCCGGAUUUAUUGGGUUUAAAGGGAGCGCAGAUGGGUUUUUAAGUCAGUUGUGAACGUUUGCGGCUCAACCGUAAAAUUGCAAUUGAUACUGGCAGCCUUGAGUACAGGUGAGGUAGGCGGAAUUCGUGGUGUAGCGGUGAAAUGCUUAGAUAUCACGAAGAACUCCGAUUGCGAAGGCAGCCUACUAAACUGCCACUGACAUUGAUGCUCGAAAGUGUGGGUAUCAAACAGGAUUAGAUACCCUGGUAGUC
rnacentral:rRNA from 1 species